rnacentral:lncRNA from 1 species
UGGAUUCUCAGAGUGGAUCUGCAGCUCAUCGUCGCUCUGCCACGACUCCUACGAAAUCCUUCAACGCGCUGGACAAAAUGAGAACAGGACUGGUGCUGGUCUUCCUGCUGGUCCUGAGCGCCAUGGCCCUGACCGCCGCCGAGCCCAUCGCCGACCCCAACCCUGAGCCCCAGUUUGGUAGACCCGGUCCCUUUGGUCCCUUCCGCCCACAGUGUCCCCGACGUCAUUGUUGGAGGCGUGGACGCUGUAGGAGGUGCCGUUAAAUGUAAUCCAUCAGACCCGUACACUGCGAUGGUUCUCAUUGCUAUGUGACUGUCUGCUGCCACGAACUGGGACAAAAUUGUAUAGGUUAUGGGGACCUCGUUAACAAAGGGUUGCAAUGCACGCAACCGGUUGAUCAACCGCUUGCGUGCAGCUGUUCGGCAUUUGUAGCGAGAACGUUCCUAGUCAACCAAAACGUUAAUAUGAUUGUGUUGGUUAUAUGAAUUUAUCGUCACAAUAUCUUAUAAGAUUGAUCUGUUUACUUUACUAUAGUAAUUUCAGCUGUAGACGGACACAAGAAUCUGGAGUGUGGGAAAUUUUCUGCAACCAAAUAUAUUAUUGUACUA